AUUGAACGCUGGCGGCAUGCCUUACACAUGCAAGUCGAACGGUAGCGGGCCUUCGGGUGCCGACGAGUGGCGAACGGGUGAGUAAUGUAUCGGAACGUACCUUUCAGUGGGGGAUAACGUAGCGAAAGUUGCGCUAAUACCGCAUAUUCUGUGAGCAGGAAAGCAGGGGAUCGCAAGACCUUGCGCUGAUUGAGCGGCCGAUAUCAGAUUAGCUAGUUGGUGAGGUAAAGGCUCACCAAGGCGACGAUCUGUAGCGGGUCUGAGAGGAUGAUCCGCACACUGGAACUGAGACACGGUCCAGACUCCUACGGGAGGCAGCAGUGGGGAAUUUUGGACAAUGGGGGCAACCCUGAUCCAGCCAUGCCGCGUGAGUGAAGAAGGCCUUCGGGUUGUAAAGCUCUUUCGGCCGGGAAGAAAUCGUAUGGGUUAAUACCCUGUGCGGAUGACGGUACCGGCAUAAGAAGCACCGGCUAACUACGUGCCAGCCGCCGCAGUAACAC
rnacentral:rRNA from 1 species